CCUACGGGAGGCAGCAGUGGGGAAUAUUGGACAAUGGGGGGAACCCUGAUCCAGCCAUGCCGCGUGUGUGAAGAAGGCCCUCGGGUUGUAAAGCACUUUCAGUGAGGAAGAACGCCUGGUGGUUAAUACCCAUCAGGAAAGACAUCACUCACAGAAGAAGCACCGGCUAACUCCGUGCCAGCAGCCGCGGUAAUACGGAGGGUGCGAGCGUUAAUCGGAAUUACUGGGUGUAAAGCGCGCGUAGGUGGCUUGAUAAGCCGGUUGUGAAAGCCCCGGGCUCAACCUGGGAACGGCAUCCGGAACUGUCAAGCUAGAGUGCAGGAGAGGAAGGUAGAAUUCCCGGUGUAGCGGUGAAAUGCGUAGAGAUCGGGAGGAAUACCAGUGGCGAAGGCGGCCUUCUGGACUGACACUGACACUGAGGUGCGAAAGCGUGGGUAGCAAACAGGAUUAGAUACCCUAGUAGUC
rnacentral:rRNA from 1 species